rnacentral:rRNA from 1 species
GCAGAACGCGAAGAACCUUACCAAGGCUUGACAUCCCCUUGACCGGCACAGAGAUGUGCCCUCUCCUUCGGGAGCAAGGGUGACAGGUGGUGCAUGGUUGUCGUCAGCUCGUGUCGUGAGAUGUUGGGUUAAGUCCCGCAACGAGCGCAACCCUUAUCCUUAGUUGCCAGCAUUUAGGGUGGGCACUCUAAGGAGACUGCCGAUGAUAAAUCGGAGGAAGGUGGGGAUGACGUCAAAUCAUCAUGCCCCUUAUGUCUUGGGCUACACACGUGCUACAAUGGUCGGUACAAAGGGCAGCGAAGGAGUGAUCCGGAGCAAAUCCCAAUAAACCGAUCUCAGUUCGGAUUGUAGGCUGCAACUCGCCUACAUGAAGUCGGAGUUGCUAGUAAUCGCGAAUCAGAACGUCGCGGUGAAUGCGUUCCCGGGUCUUGUACACACCG